rnacentral:rRNA from 2 species
CAGGUUGAUAGGUCUGAGGUGGAAGUGUGGCGACACAUGGAGCUGACAGAUACUAAUCGAUCGAGGACUUAACCUAA